UACGAAGGGGGCUAGCGUUGCUCGGAAUCACUGGGCGUAAAGCGCACGUAGGCGGAUUGCUAAGUCAGGGGUGAAAUCCUGGAGCUCAACUCCAGAACUGCCUUUGAUACUGGCGAUCUUGAGUCCGGGAGAGGUGAGUGGAACUGCGAGUGUAGAGGUGAAAUUCGUGGAUAUUCGCAAGAACACCAGUGGCGAAGGCGGCUCACUGGACCGGUAUUGACGCUGAGGUGCGAAAGCGUGGGGAGCAAACAGG
rnacentral:rRNA from 1 species